UACGGAGGAUGCAAGCGUUAUCCGGAAUGAUUGGGCGUAAAGCGUCCGCAGGUGGCAAUGUAAGUCUGCUGUUAAAGAGUGAGGCUCAACCUCAUAAGAGCAGUGGAAACUACAUAGCUAGAGUGCGUUCGGGGCAAAGGGAAUUCCUGGUGCAGCGGUGAAAUGCGUAGAGAUCAGGAAGAACACCGGUGGCGAAGGCGCUCUGCUAGGCCGCAACUGACACUGAGGGACGAAAGCUAGGGGAGCGAAUGGG
rnacentral:rRNA from 1 species